CAUAUGAAUGAGUGAGCCUUAAUAUGAUUCUAGCCCCAGUCAUAAUCUGACUAAAACUGCAUGAGAUACCUGAGCAAGAAUUACCUAGGAAAGCCCAGUCAACACCAAGAAAAAUGAAAGACAGUGGCUAAACCAGAACAUGGAGUGGUAAGAAGAGAUGCAUGAAGAAACAAUUACUACUAAUCCUUGAGCACCAAAUCUGGCUGGGCAAGAGUGGAAGUUGAGGCUGUGUGAAGAGGCAGAAUCUUCUAACCGAGUAUGAGAUUAAAACUUUAAUGUAGUCUGGACUGGA